ACACAUGCAAGUCGAGCGGGGGAAGGUAGCUUGCUACCGGACCUAGCGGCGGACGGGUGAGUAAUGCUUAGGAAUCUGCCUAUUAGUGGGGGGCAACAUCUCGAAAGGGAUGCUAAUACCGCAUACGUCCUACGGGAGAAAGCAGGGGAUCUUCGGACCUUGCGCUAAUAGAUGAGCCUAAGUCGGAUUAGCUAGUUGGUGGGGUAAAGGCCUACCAAGGCGACGAUCUGUAGCGGGUCUGAG
rnacentral:rRNA from 1 species